UUCGACAACUCUGGAAAGUGGUGGGAGCACCCACCCGCCCAAGGGGAAAGGUGCCGGUGCGCGCAUGUCAGCGCGCCGUGUUCUACCGAAUCUCUCAGGCGCACGCGUCAGCGAGCACACGACAGAGGGGGAGGA
rnacentral:ncRNA from 12 species